UACGUAGGGUGCGAGCGUUGUCCGGAAUUAUUGGGCGUAAAGGGCUCGUAGGCGGUCUGUCACGUCGGGAGUGAAAACACGGGGCUUAACCCCGUGCCUGCUUCCGAUACGGGCAGACUAGAGGUAUGCAGGGGAGAACGGAAUUCCUGGUGUAGCGGUGAAAUGCGCAGAUAUCAGGAGGAACACCGAUGGCGAAGGCAGGUCUCUGGGCCGAUACUGACGCUGAGGAGCGAAAGCGUGGGGAGCGAACAGG
rnacentral:rRNA from 1 species